rnacentral:rRNA from 1 species
CUACGGGUUGCUGCAGUGAGGAAUAUUGCACAAUGGAGGAAACUCUGAUGCAGCAACGCCGCGUGGAGGAUGACGCAUUUCGGUGUGUAAACUCCUUUUAUAUGUCAAGAAAAUGACGGUAGCAUAUGAAUAAGCACCGGCUAACUCCGUGCCAGCAGCCGCGGUAAGACGGAGGGUGCAAGCGUUACUCGGAAUCACUGGGCGUAAAGGACGCGUAGGCGGGAUAUCAAGUCAGGUGUGAAAUCCUACAGCUUAACUGUAGAACUGCACUUGAAACUGGUAACCUAGAGUAUGGGAGGGGGAGAUGGAAUUAGUGGUGUAGGGGUAAAAUCCGUAGAUAUCACUAGGAAUACCUAAAGCGAAGGCGAUCUCCUGGAACAUAACUGACGCUAAGGCGUGAAAGCGUUGGGAGCAAACAGGAUUAGAUACCCUAGUAGUC